rnacentral:rRNA from 1 species
AUGGAUAGGCAAGGCAUUUCAUCUCCGGUCUUCAACGACAACGACGGCCCGAACAACUACAUUAACAAAACGUCCAUCUUCGGGCUACAACGAGCAAUGCACGACAUUGAGCGACUCACCAUCGACAUUCACCAAAGCGAAGCAAGGAAAAGGGACUACAUCUACACCAAGUUGGCGGAACAAAUGGAUCAAGUACAAGACAUGUUGGCCAACUACAAGUCUUCUUCCCCUUCGUCAUCUUCUCGGCGGCGACGCUCUAGUAGCAAAUCUUCGGAACGCCAUCGAGCUCAAGCACUACAACACCAUCAAGAUGAAGAUGCUCGCGAUGCGUACACCUACAAGUCCCAAAAAGCUCUACAUCAAGCUACGGCCAAACUUCAUGAGCACAAGAGAAGACCGCGAGACAAGCACCACCAAGAGGACUCUACGACUACUACUACCACCACUCUGGCAUCUUCGCCAAGUGUUAUCAAGGCGUCUUCGCCUUUGGACGUGCGACAUCUUCGCCUACCUCCGACGAGUACGCCUACAUCGGCCUUCAUCCACGGCGACGGUGACGAGAUGAUCGAGCAUGGGAUUUUCCCUUCGGUCAUGGAGGAGAGUGAUGAUGUGCCAUCUUCGGCCUUCAUCCACGGCUACGACCACGACAUGAUUGAGCAUGGAGACAUUUGCACCUACAUCUCUCCGACUCCCACAUAUGACGAGAUGCCCCAAUUCCCAUGUGAGGAGAGCCACCCCAACAUGAGUGAUAUGAGUGCCUCCACCAUAUGUGACAUUGAGAGCAUUUCCUAUGAGAGGAUGAGUGUGACCACCACUAGCCCCACACACGAGAUUAUGCCACACAUCCUAUGUGAGGUUGAGAGCAUGAGUGACUCCACCUACCAUAUGAGUGAGAGCAUCUUGCCGGGAGUGAGUGAGCCACAACACUUAGUGAGUGAGGUAGUUGAGACGGAACAUGAGGCCACUAUGAUUUCUAACGACUUAACCUCUACUCCGAGUGUGUUUUCUUCUUUGGUGCUAGGUCUCCUACAUGACGACAUGCCUAUCCUCGAUGAUUCCAUACCUCCAAUGGAGAUGACGAUGGCCAUGGUGGAUGAUGAUGCACCCCCACAUUCCACCACGAUGAAGAUGACAAUGAUUGGAUCGUCGACACCUCACCUACAACACAUGAGCGAUGCUCCAAAGGUAACAUAG